rnacentral:rRNA from 1 species
CCUACGGGUGGCAGCAGUGAGGAAUAUUGGUCAAUGGUCGGAAGACUGAACCAGCCAAGCCGCGUGAAGGAUGAAGGUGCCAAGCAUUGUAAACCUCUUUUGUCAGGGAACAAAGCCCGGCACGUGUCCCCGGCUGAGUGUACCUGAAGAAAAAGCAUCGGCUAACUCCGUGCCAGCAGCCGCGGUAAUACGGAGGAUGCGAGCGUUAUCCGGAUUUAUUGGGUUUAAGGGGUGCGUGGGCGGGCUGUUAAGUCAGCGGUAAAAGCCCGGGGCUCAACCCCGGCCAGCCGUUGAAACUGGCGGUCUUGAGACGGCGAGAGGUAUGCGGAAUGCGCGGUGUAGCGGUGAAAUGCUUAGAUAUUGCGCAGAACUCCGAUUGCGAAGGCAGCAUGCCGGCGCCGAACUGACGCUGAGGCACGAAAGCGUGGGUAUCGAACAGGAUUAGAUACCCCUGUAGUC